rnacentral:rRNA from 1 species
CCUACGGGUGGCAGCAGUGGGGAAUAUUGGACAAUGGGCGAAAGCCUGAUCCAGCCAUGCCGCGUGUGUGAAGAAGGCCUUCGGGUUGUAAAGCACUUUCAGUGGGGAAGAAAGCCUUGGGGCUAAUACCCUCGAGGAAGGACAUCACCCACAGAAGAAGCACCGGCUAACUCCGUGCCAGCAGCCGCGGUAAUACGGAGGGUGCGAGCGUUAAUCGGAAUUACUGGGCGUAAAGCGCGCGUAGGCGGUCUGAUAAGCCGGUUGUGAAAGCCCCGGGCUCAACCUGGGAACGGCAUCCGGAACUGUCAGGCUAGAGUGCAGGAGAGGAAGGUAGAAUUCCCGGUGUAGCGGUGAAAUGCGUAGAGAUCGGGAGGAAUACCAGUGGCGAAGGCGGCCUUCUGGACUGACACUGACGCUGAGGUGCGAAAGCGUGGGUAGCAAACAGGAUUAGAUACCCUAGCAGUC